UGUUUGUCAUGUCAUAAAUUCUCAUCUCAUUCAUGAUCAUGAUGAUGAUCAUGAUUGCGUCGGUUCAGAGUGCUGAUGUAGAGCAUCUGCAAAUGGGAAAUGAUCUGCAGCGGCUUCCUGUUCUUGAUUUGGGAGGUUGAGUGGAAGAUAUGCGCCUGGUUAGGUGGUGAUGAAUUAUUUGUAUCUGUUCAUACACAUUGCAACUGAGGGGGCCCAUUGCAACUGAGGGAGCCCAAGAGCUGUACUAUUUUGAGGCUGAUAAUAGAUCUUGUGAGAGAAGUCACUCACUAAAUUACAAAAUGCUGCAUGCCUGCUACUGUUGAGUUCGGAUACGAAGACAUGAGCCUGUAUACAUCAGCUAAGUAGCUCCAAUAGCUGUGCAUACCACAACUCUAUCCUGAGCUCCGUUUGCGAUUGAAUAUUACUGAAGGGAACAACCGUGCUGGUUGUCUUCAAGAGAAAAGAUGAAAAUAUUCAUCAAGGAUCUUCAAAAUUAAACGUCAAAAUCAUCUAUUUCCACAAGGCAGGGUGUUCUUCCAAGGAUGAACUAUUUAAUAUAACCUUGUGACUCUUGAAGUUGUUGUUGUCUAUCCUUUUAUCCGUUGAAACACCGGCUCCCGGCUCAAAGACAUACCCGCAACUUUCAACAGACAAGAGGCUAUGUAUGUUGUUGAUCACUUACCAAAAGGCAAUAUCUCUGCUCAUCUUGCUCUAUAUCUUUAUAUGUUACAAUAGUAAUAUUGGAUUUAUUAUUUAUCGAUCAUAAUUGUAUAUUAUAACUAGCUACUUACGCGCGGUUGCACCCGCUC